rnacentral:lncRNA from 12 species
GGACAUUUCUCCUUGCCAUGGGACAGCUGAAGAGGUGUAAUUUAACGGCUUUCAGAGGCCCGUCACUGGGGUGAUUGAGGUGGACAGAAGGCAUGGACAUGACCAAGGCCCUUAAAAGACACAAACAGGUGGAGAGUGUGCUGGGGGUGGGCAGAGGGCUGGGGAGUACAAAAGGGGGAGGCUCGCUUGGAGAGCAGGGACAAGAGAAGGCAGAGUGUGAGGCUGGCAAGGAGCAGGAGGAGGGGUGAGGAGAUGGGGGGCAAGAUCUCAGCUAAACAGGACCCAAAAGGAGAGAAAGCAACAAUAAAGGACAGACCUGUGCAAAAGACAGAUGAAUGGACAGAGCCCGGGGAGAGAUGACAGUUCAUCGGGGCAGGGGGUAUAUAUAUAUAUAUAUAUAUAUACCAAAAGACAAAGAUGGCUAGGAUAGGGAUUUGAAAGAUAAGGGUAAAAGGAAAGAAAACAGGGAAUAAGUAAGGAGACAAAAUAAGUAAUAAGAGUACAGGUACCAGUUAAAUGCUUCAAAAAUCACCAGGCUGUUAGGCUGAAGAAGCCCCACAGCCAUACCCAGGAGGGGACCAUCAGUAAAGACACAGGCAGGCAAUUUAAGUAGCUAGCUACUGAGGUAAAAAAAAAAAAAAAAAAAAAAAUGAAAAAAAUGAAAAAAAAAAAGAAGAUGGAAAAGGUGAGAAGCAGGAGAAAGAAAACCCAAAGGAGACACUGGCCCAGAAACCUUUUUAACUUUCUGUAAGAAUCUUCAAGGCCCCAAACUAGGCCAAGAUUCUGACUGACAUUUCUGAGCUCACCAGCUGCUGUUUCCUUGAGAGAAUUCUGACAAGAAGGCAUAGAAAUGCAAGCCAACACUGCCAGCUCUGAAAAAAAAAAAUAAUAAUAAUAACAACCCAUGCUCUAAACACCUCAAUGGGGCCGAAGCCUGCAGGGGAAGGAGGCGCACAGAGGAAGAGGGACCUGCCUGCAACUUUCCCCCAGCAAAAAGAGUGGUUUCUUCGGAUGACCCCAAAGACACCCUCACUAAAACAACGUGAACUGUUACAUCUUUUUGAAAAACUAAGAAGCUAAGCCCCUGAGCAAUGUAUUUCUUUGGAAAACUAGGACAAGAACCAGUUUCUCUGACAUGGCCCCUGGAAAUAAUUCUUACUACUCACUCAAUGUAAUAGGUGUACUUUUUUAAAAAGAGUUUUUGGAGCUAAAGAGCUUUAUCAUUAUUCUGUGUUAUUACAUUAUGUUAUAUAAUCAUCGCCAUCCCUUUGCAAAUAUGAUACGAGAUCCUGUGAGUCAAUGGACCCCCUGCUGGGCUGUCUUUCCCAAGAAAAACAUGCGCUUCAUUUUAUAUCCAUUCUUCACCAUACUCCAGCCAAGGUUUGUUUGAUAAGAUUUGGGAGCCAAAGAGACGAUCCCCAGUCGUGUACAAGCCCCCAAGCAGAAAAUUCUCAGUGACUUGGUCAUUUAGCAACUUUGUAACUUCACAGACAGGGGUUCCCCUCUCUUUGGGGUGUUUUUUUUUUUCUUUGGGGUGUUGAUCAUCUGUCUAUACCCUCAAGGGUGAAAGCUCCUACAAUCAUACCCUUGAAGAGGAUUUACAUCAUCCUGGCUUCUGUGUGGCUUUACUCUUUUUCCUUACCUCCCCAUUUUCAGGAAGCUCACAAUGUAAGGGCCGAUUCCUGGCCCUCAAAUUGUUCAACAUCAGAAACUCUAAACUAGAGCAGUGGUUCUCCAAGUGUGGUCCCCAGACAAGCAGCAUUGGAAUCACCUGAGAACCCUGUUAGGAAUGCAAAUUCUCAGAUCCCUCUCCAGAACUCCUGAAUCAGAAACUCUGGGGCUGGGGCCAGGCACAAGUGCUUGACCAAGACCUCCAGAUGACUCUGAAACACUGAAUCAGGAGGUUACAAUGCUUUAAAAUAACACACAGAGCUCACAUCUCCUUACACGGGUGAUUCCAGUUGCCUAUAGAGCUAUUGCUUCUCAAGAGACCCCUCCACAAAUAACCACCUCUCAGUCAAUGCUGUGUAUCUUUGGCCUGCAAAAUAGGAGUAUUUCUGAUAGAAGUUACUUAUUACAGCACUGAGAACAGUACCUGUGUACAGUGAGUGCUCUCUGAAUGAGGUGGGGGUUGUUUUACCUGUUCCACCUUUCCUGUGCAAAAGGCCUUCACUAGGUGGUGUAGGAAGUCAAAAAGGAAGUAGCCAGGAUCCUGGUCCCAUGAGAGGAGGUAUGUGAAAUUAGAGGUAAAUACACAAGGAAUGGAGCAGCAAAAUAAGACACGAUACAGGUCCACACAAUAAGAACUAAGAAGAGAACGAGACAACUGGGAGAAAACUGUGGCGGAUGUGUCUUUUGAACUGAGGCUUAAAGAGAGAGAAAUUUUAAAGAGCAGAGAUGGGCUAAGAGAAAAGAACAUUGUAGGUGGCUGCUGAGCACCUGGCUCCUGAGUGCCCGCUCCCCUUUCUGUUACUAAUAAGGUAGCCAUUCAUGUUGCGGAGGGGCAUCACCUUGUGUCUGGGUCUAACCGUUUGUCACAAUGUUUGCAGAAAAUCUUCCUUUAAUCCAAACUAUACAACUUUCCUGAGACUUUCGUAAAAUGAGUCCUUUCCAGUAUUAACAAUUUUUUUACUUUAACAUUCAUCUCUCUCUCUCUCUCAUAUAUAUAUAUAUAUAUUAUUAGGUCAAUGAUUUUCAAAGUCCUCUGUCCACUUACAACAGAAUAAAUUGGAAGUGCUUGCAAAAGUGCA